AAUAUAAUGUGUCUGUUGUGUCUUCCAUAGGAGAGAAUACGCAUUGGUAAAGAGCUUUUAGAAGCCAAACGAAUGGAGGAAGAAAAUGAAAGAAAACGAAUAAUGGCACUGAGAAAGGCAGAGAAAGAGGAAGAGAAGAGGGCGAGA